rnacentral:piRNA from 1 species
UGCAACUCGGGAUUAGCAAA